rnacentral:rRNA from 1 species
CGAAUCCUUUAGAGAUAGAGGAGUGCCUUCGGGAACGCUGAGACAGGUGCUGCAUGGCUGUCGUCAGCUCGUGUUGUGAAAUGUUGGGUUAAGUCCCGCAACGAGCGCAACCCUUAUCCUUUGUUGCCAGCACGUAAUGGUGGGAACUCAAAGGAGACUGCCGGUGAUAAACCGGAGGAAGGUGGGGAUGACGUCAAGUCAUCAUGGCCCUUACGAGUAGGGCUACACACGUGCUACAAUGGCAGAUACAAAGAGAAGCGACCUCGCGAGAGCAAGCGGAACUCAUAAAGUCUGUCGUAGUCCGGAUUGGAGUCUGCAACUCGACUCCAUGAAGUCGGAAUCGCUAGUAAUCGUAGAUCAGAAUGCU